rnacentral:rRNA from 1 species
UACGAAGGGGGCGAGCGUUGUUCGGAAUCACUGGGCGUAAAGGGCGCGUAGGCGGCCCUCUUAGUCGCGUGUGAAAGCCCCGGGCUCAACCUGGGAACAGCGCGCGAAACGGGAGGGCUGGAGUUCGGGAGAGGAGAGUGGAAUUCCCAGUGUAGCGGUGAAAUGCGUAGAUAUCAGGAGGAACACCUGUGGCGAAAGCGGCUCACUGGACCACAACUGACGCUGAGGCGCGAAAGCUAGGGGAGCAAACAGG